ACGGGAGGCAGCAGUGGGGAAUAUUGGACAAUGGGGGAAACCCUGAUCCAGCGACGCCGCGUGAGUGAAGAAGUAUUUCGGUAUGUAAAGCUCUAUCAGCAGGGAAGAUGAUGACGGUACCUGACUAAGAAGCCCCGGCUAACUACGUGCCAGCGGCCGCGGUAAUACGUAGGGGGCAAGCGUUAUCCGGAUUUACUGGGUGUAAAGGGAGUGUAGGCGGCUGCGCAAGUCAGAAGUGAAAGCCCGGGGCUUAACCCCGGGACUGCUUUUGAAACUGCGUAGCUUGAGUGCAGGAGAGGCAAGCGGAAUUCCUAGUGUAGCGGUGAAAUGCGUAGAUAUUAGGAGGAACACCAGUGGCGAAGGCGGCUUACUGGGCUUUAACUGACGCUGAGGCACGAAAGUAUGGGGAGCAAACAGGAUUAGAUACCCUAGUA
rnacentral:rRNA from 1 species